GUGCUGCUGGUGAAGUGGUAUCAUUCAAGAUUCCCAUUUUUUGCAAACCAGGUUCAAUUCCCAGGCGGCGCA